rnacentral:rRNA from 1 species
GACGAACGCUGGCGGCGUGCUUAACACAUGCAAGUCGAACGAUGAUGCCCAGCUUGCUGGGUGGAUCAGUGGCGAACGGGUGAGUAACACGUGGGUGAUCUGCCCUGCACUUUGGGAUAAGCCUGGGAAACUGGGUCUAAUACCGAAUACACCCUGCUGGUCGCAUGGCCUGGUGGGGGAAAGCUUUUGCGGUGUGGGAUGGGCCCGCGGCCUAUCAGCUUGUUGGUGGGGUGAUGGCCUACCAAGGCGACGACGGGUAGCCGGCCUGAGAGGGUGUCCGGCCACACUGGGACUGAGAUACGGCCCAGACUCCUACGGGAGGCAGCAGUGGGGAAUAUUGCACAAUGGGCGCAAGCCUGAUGCAGCGACGCCGCGUGAGGGACGACGGCCUUCGGGUUGUAAACCUCUUUCAGCACAGACGAAGCGCAAGUGACGGUAUGUGCAGAAGAAGCACCGGCCAACUACGUGCCAGCAGCCGCCGUAACAC